rnacentral:lncRNA from 1 species
CGGCGCUAGAUCAGCUGUUUUUCCUACUGUGCAAUGUUGACGGAACUGUCCAAAAAUGUAACCAGACGUGCAAUAGAACUAUACGUACCGUAAUUCUUCGGAAUUUAAGUCAUUAGGAUCCACUGCUAAUAAUGUGCCAACAUCGGUUUCUAGGGGUAGAAGUUUGAAGACGGUGGUCGGCUUGAACUUUUCCUUUUUGGCAGCAACUUCCUUGAAGGCUUUAUCGACAAUAUCGAUUGUCCGAAAGUCCGUAAUCAGUUUGGUAGCUAAUAUCUAAAUCACAAGCCAGAAAAGGAAAAUAAUUCACUGAAUAAUUACAAAACCAGGCACUAGCACAUGGCACAUGACACACACACAUAAGUGCAAAAUGCAUGUGUUGCCGUUCGUUGCCAUGUUUGUGGUGGUUCUUCUUCUUCCCAUUCCCUCCCUAAAAAGCAUUGUUGCCUUGUUGAGCGUAGUAUGCUUAAUAAAAAUAAUUUUCUAUGUUUAUCAGAUUUUAUUGGAACUUAGGCAACGCUGAGUAAUUACCACGGUAGAGAUUAAAGGGAAACUGAAUCGAUUGUUACAAGUCGUUCGUUGCGAUCACUCGAUAUAUCGAUCUUUUUCCAUAGGCUCCAAAAGCAAACCAUCGAUAUUAUCGCAAAAGAACCUCCAAACUCUUUCAUGCACCAAAUGUGAUUGCUCAUUUGCUCGAUUUAUGUCCACUUGAUUUCCUCGAUCGGCUUUACACCAGGCCACUAACUUCUUCAUUUUUCCCCGUUUUAUGAGUGUUAAUCAACCCUAAUCUAACUAUAAUUUCCAUUAUCAAUUCUAGAAGUUAAGUGUUAAAGUAUAAGUUACCCAUCAGUGGGCAGAAAUUUCCGAAAUCAUCGAGUUUUGUGUUGUUGCUGUUUGUGUAUGCCGUCGCGUUUUGAUACCACUGAGUAUCCUUUGUAUUUCGCGCAAUGACCCGUGGUAAGGGAGAUUUCGAGGACGAGGAGUAUGACGAAGAAGGGGACAAUGAAGAGAUGAACUACAAUGACGGCGAUGACGGGGAUGAUGAUGACUACGGGGACCAUGGCCCCCCCGACGAUGGCGACUUCGAGUUUCGGCGGUUCCCCAUGCGCGGCCGAGGCCGGGGUGGCUUCAGGGCUCGUGGUCGAGGUAUGCACAGAGGACGUGGUGACUUUCGUGGAGGAUUCCGUGGUCGAGGCUUCGGACCAAGAGGACCUGGUUUUCGAGGUGGCCCAGGAGGACCCUUCGGCCCUAGAGGACCAAGAUUUCGAGGUGGACCUCCUAACUGGGAUGGUCCACCGAAUUGGGGACCUCCACCACCAGGAAUGAUGGGUCCUGGUGGACCUGGCAUGUGUCCGCCGCCAAAUCAUAUGAUGAUGAACAAUGGGCAAGGACCCAUGGGCAUGGGUCCUCCAUUCGGGCCACCUCCUGGAAUGGGACCUCAAGGAGGACCAGGAGGACCACCACCUGGAAUGAUGGGGCCUGGCGGUCCUCCACCAAUGAACGGACCUGGAAUGAUGGGAGGACCAAUGAAUCGAAUGCCACCGCCGAACAUGGGUAUGCCUCCUCCAAAUAUGGGGCAACCUCCAAUGGGCGGAAUGCCCCCAAUGAACAUGCCUCCUCCAGGCGGCGCAAUGUCGAUGGCUCCCAAUGGAAUGAGCGGAAUGAGUGAGCUUGAUUUCAGCGGAGAAAUCUGGGUUGAAACCAAAAGUGGUGAGGGGAAAUCUUACUAUUACAAUGCCAGGACCAGAGAAACCACAUGGACAAAACCUGAAGGAGGAGAAGUGAAAAUUAUAUCACAAGAGCAGGUGGAACAAAUGGCUCAAGCCGCCAGAAUGACAGGGCAAACAGGCGCAAUCGGAGCCGCUGCUACCACAGAGAGUGGAGAUGCAACAAAACCUGAUGAUCUCAACAACUCCACAACCAACCAAUCAUCUGACUCUGAUUUUUCACAAAUUCAAGGACCUCCUCCGGGAAUGUCACCGUUCGGAGCCCUGCACCAUUUG